CAUGCUCUGGAAAAAGUAUAGAUGGUAAAAAGUCUCCAUAGGUAGGAAAUAAACUUCAUUUUUGUACAGAGGGAGCUAGAGAUGGAAAGCUUUCCCUCUGGGUCCAGGAGAAUGCCUAUGUGAGCUGUGUUGAGUAGCUCUUUGAUCUGUAGAUCAGGUAAAAGUCCUUUCUUGGAGGAGUCAGAUGGCAUGCAGGGAGG